UCUUUGUUAGUAUAUCGGUUAGUACACGCGCCUGUCAUUCCUGUAAAUUUCACAAUAGACCGCGCGAAAGCUGGGUUCGACUCCCAGACAGAGAG